rnacentral:lncRNA from 1 species
CCCAUCCUGAUCUGGUGAUCUGAUAAUCAAGUAGGAGUAAUUACUCAGAUCAAGGCCUGAAGUAUCUUCUUCAAAAUCCACUGUCAGUAGUACCAAAUUAGUCUUCAAUGGAAUCUUCUUCGAAUCACAAUCAUCUUUGUCGAACAUGGAAAACUGCUUCUAAUGAUCCUUUGAGUAAUCAAUUGGAUUGGGUCAUCAAUGUACUUCCAUUACCGGUUCUGAGAAUCUGGUAUUUGAAAACCCGGUGUUUGUCUUGUAAUCUGUCAGCCUGAUCUGUCUCAACUAAAUGUCAAUCUGAUUUGUCUUGGAG